GUCCCAGUUCGGAUCGCAGGCUGCAACCCGCCUGCGUGAAGUUGGAAUCGCUAGUAAUCGCGGAUCAGCAUGCCGCGGUGAAUACGUUCCCGGGCCUUGUACACACCGCCCGUCACACCAUGAGAGUCGGGAACACCCGAAGUCCGUAGCCUGACCGCGAAGGGGGGCGCGGCCGAAGGUGGGUUCGAUAAUUGGGGUGAAGUCGUAACAAGGUAAC
rnacentral:rRNA from 1 species